CCUACGGGGGGCAGCAGUCGAGAAUCAUUCACAAUGGGGGAAACCCUGAUGGUGCGACGCCGCGUGGGGGGAUGAAGGUCUUCGGAUUGUAAACCCCUGUCAUGUGGGAGCAAAUUAAAAAGAUAGUACCACAAGAGGAAGAGACGGCUAACUCUGUGCCAGCAGCCGCGGUAAUACAGAGGUCUCAAGCGUUGUUCGGAAUCACUGGGCGUAAGGCGUGCGUAGGCUGUUUCGUAAGUCGUGUGUGAAAGGCGCGGGCUCAACCCGCGGACGGCACAUGAUACUGCGAGACUAGAGUAAUGGAGGGGGAACCGGAAUUCUCGGUGUAGCAGUGAAAUGCGUAGAUAUCGAGAGGAACACUCGUGGCGAAGGCGGGUUCCUGGACAUUAACUGACGCUGAGGCACGAAGGCCAGGGGAGCGAAAGGGAUUAGAUACCCCAGUAGUC
rnacentral:rRNA from 1 species